AUGGGGAGUCCAUGGAGGCAUCAUAGAGACCUUGUAGGGUCCCCACAGAGUCCCACAGAGUUGAGGCCCAGAGGAGGCCUCAACCUCGUCUGCAAGGCCUCCGGAUUCACCUUCAGCAGUUUUGGCAUGAAUUGGGUGCGACAGGCACCCGGCAAGGGGCUGGAAUACGUUGGCUGUAUUAACAGUGGUGGUAGCACAUACUACGCAUCGGCGGUGAAGGGCCGUGCCACCAUCUCGAGGGACAACGGGCAGAGCACAGUGAAGCUGCAGCUGAACAGCCUCAAGGCUGAGGACAGCGCCACCUACUACUGCGCGAAAAGUGCUG